rnacentral:misc_RNA from 1 species
AUGAGGGAUUUGGCAACAGCUUAAUUAAUGAAACUAAACUAAAUCAUAAGUUAAAGGACACACAAUCAUUAAAAUUCAAAAAGCUUCAAUGCUUUUCAAACUGGUUUACAGCUCUUUAAACUUUGUCUGUAUUCUGUUGCCAUUGUCUAGUAUUUUCACACUCUGAUAUCAAUGAGUGGCACACCUUAUUUAUAUACAUUACAUUCAUA